rnacentral:rRNA from 1 species
GACGAACGCUGGCGGCGCGCUUAACACAUGCAAGUCGAGCGGGAACCAGGCCUUCGGGCCUGGGGAAAGCGGCGAACGGGUGGGUAACACGUGGGUAAUCUGCCCUCGGCACCGGGAUAGCCCGGGGAAACUCGGAUUAAUACCGGAUAGCCUCCGAAGCCUUCGGGCGUCGGAGAAAAGGUGGCUUCGGCUUCCGGCUG